GACUAUUUCUCUCUUCUCUCGCUCGCUCAGCUCCAUCUUCUCUGUGUUCACCACUUUUCUUCAUCCCUCUCUUCGUCUUCAAAUCCCAGCAGCAUACUAAGGUAAUUUCUCCUAAUUCUUGUUUCUUCGAUUUUGCUUGUUGAAUUUGAAAGGGUUUUGCACUUCUCUUCCAUUCUUGUUCUUCUUAAUCGAUGGCUAAAGGUCUUGAGUAGAUAUUGGUGGGAUGGAUUCUGUUGUGUGUGAGUGAGGAGGAGGGAUUACCGGAACAAUAGUUCCGGCGGCGUGGUGGCUGCCGUCAUGUCUUUUGCUGUGUUUUUUAUUUCCCCUGUUUUUGACAGCAGCAGGAUCGUACCUUGCAGACCGUUUUUCAUCAGUUUUCUUUCAUCAAACCCCAUCAAUAUAGGUACCAUUAGAAAGCUAUCGUCGUUGGCUUUCCAACGGUACCUUCGGAUUGUCAAUCCGACACCGGACGACGGAGUUAUGAGCCAAUCAAGUCAGGGUGUCGGGUCUGUGCGCGAAGGUUUCCUCGCGAGUUUGAGUCGACCUUCCGGCGUCAAAUCGAUGCUGUGAGGGAGAAUAAGUUUAGGGGUUUUGUAGCUCAUGUCGUAGACGUUCUAAUCAUAGGUUUUCUUCUUGAGAUCUUGUUGUAUAUAUGGCUGCAUGCUUAGGAGUUGAGGUCUGUUUUGAUAUUAUAAAGAGUAAAUGGACUAAGUAGCAAAAACAAGUCAUAUUUUAUUCUUUCAUACGUGGCUGUUAUAUGUUACUGUUUUAGUGCUCAAGGACUGAUCUGGUGCGUCUAUCAUCAACGGUCCAGAUCAUGAGUUAGAUAUAUCAUCUUCAACACUUAAAGCUGGGGUUAGCAGCUGUUCUUCAUCAUCGAGCAGUUGAGAGAGAAGAGAGUUACUGAGAGAAAUCUUUGUAGCAAGUUUCUUGAGUUUUAGAUCCAAUUGAGUGUUGGUGAGUUUGUGUGAAUUGUAAUCUCUUUCUCGUUUCAGAAUCAUCAAUAAUAUUGGCUAACUUUCCCGUGGAUGUAGGGGUUCUUCCCGAACCACGUAAAUCUCAUUGUCGAUUUUGCUUUUAAUUUGGUUUCACAAAUUGGCGCCGUCUGUGGGAACUUCUUCCACCGCCGAUUGAUCGAGAUUUGGAAGCUGAUCCACGAUGACGACAACGAGAUUCGAUGCGGAGAAAUUCUCGGGGAAAAAUGAUUUUGCACUUUGGCGAAUCAAAAUGAAGGCGAUGCUGAUCCAACAGGGACUCGCCGAUGCUCUGAAACCGUCACCGAAGAAAGAUGCAGAAGCGGAUAGCAAAUCCGCGGAGGCGACGGCGAUCAAAAGGGCUGAGAUAUUGGAGAAAGCGCAUAGUGCGGUUGUUCUCUGCCUCACAGAUAAAGUUCUGCGUGAAGUAGCGAAAGAAACGACUGCUGCUGGUAUCUUGGAGAAAUUAGAGAGUUUGUAUAUGACGAAAUCACUAGCUAAUCGUCUAUACAUGAAGCAGCGCCUAUAUUCAUACAAGAUCGUUGAAGAUAGGGGGAUUGCAGAGCAGCUCGAUGAAUUCAAUAAGUCUAUUGAUGACUUAGAGAACAUCGACGUCCAAAUAGAAGAUGAAGAUAAGGCGAUAAUGCUCUUGAAUGCGCUACCAAAGAGCUACGAUCAACUUAAAGAUGCUAUGCUUUAUGGGCGUGAAAAUUCUAUUACGCUUGAGGAGGUUCAGAAUGCUCUUAAGGCAAAGCAGUUGCAAAAGCAAAUCAAUGGCGGCUCUAUGGAUCCAGCAGGAGAAAGCUUGAACGUAAAGAAGUUCAAGUCAAAGAAAUCAAAGAAACAAGAAAACCAGCCCAAGAAACAAGCUCCUCAACCGAAAGGAAAAGAUGGAGAUCAGAAGGAGACAAGAAAGUGUCAUUGGUGCCACAAACCAGGACAUUUAAUGAAGGACUGCUAUUCUUUCAAGAAGAAACAGUCUAAAGAAGGCCAGAAAUUUGACUCAACAGAUGUGCAGAGGAUCUUGACCAAGCUGAAAUGCUGAAUGUUAUGGAAGGAAAUGUGGAAGGGGCUUGGAUCAUGGAUUCAGCCUGCAGCUUCCACAUGACACCACACAAAGAGUGGUUCACAGACAUACAAGAAGAUGAAAAAGGUCUGUCCUACUCGGGAACAAUCAGGUAUGUAAAGUUAGAGGAAUUGGAAUAUAAAAUUGAAAAUGCAUGAUGGUUCUUUUAAGAUUUUGACUGAAGUGAGAUAUAUUCCUGAGAUUAAAAGAAAUCUUAUUUCUUUGGGCAUGCUAGAAUCUAAGAAUUACAUCUUUCAUUCUGAGAAGGGAUAUAUAUAUGUCUGCAAAGGAUCCAAAGUUAUCAUGAAAGGCAUAAGAAAAAAUCAGCUUUAUUAUCUCAUUGCUUCUGUGGUGUCUGGUGUUUCUAAUGCUGCUGUUGUUUCAAAUGAUAUGGGUUUAUGGCACAUGAGACUUGCUCAUGUUAGUGAAAAUGGCCUAAAGGAGUUGGUAAAACAAGGUCUGAUAAAAGUAGAGGGCUCUAGAAGUCUAGAAACCUGUGAACAGUGUAUUUUGUCUAAAAGCAAAAAGGCUCCCUUUAAGGUGGGAAAACAUACGUCUGAGGCUCCUUUAGACUAUGCUCACAGUGACCUAUGGGGACCUACACAAACUACAUCCAUAGGUGGAGGCAAAUGGUUUAUGAGCAUUAUAGAUGAUUUCUCUAGAAAAUUAUGGUUGUUUGUGUUAAAAGAUAAAACUGAAGCUUUUAAGAAAUUUAAAGAAUGGUGCACUGAAGUAGAAGUUGAAAAAGGCACCACACUUAAAUGUCUUAGAACGGAUAAUGGGUUAGAAUUCUUAUCACAAGAGUUCCAGUCAUUUUGCACAUCAAAAGGGAUUAAGAGACAUAGGACAGUACCUAUGAAUCCUCAACAGAAUGGGGUGGCAGAAAGGAUGAAUAGAACCAUAUUAGAGAGGGUUAGGUGUAUGUUAAUAAGUUCAGGUUUGCCCAAAAGAUUUUGGGGGGAAGCAGCUUCUACAGCAGCUGUUCUUAUUAACAAAAGCCCAUCAUCUGCCAUAGGUUUCUUAACUCCAGAUCAUAAGUGGUAUGGUAGUAAGGGAGACUAUUCUAGCCUCAAGGUUUUUGGGUGCAAGGCUUACGCUCAUAUAAAAUAAGGAAAACUAGAUGCUAGAGCAAUAAAGUGUGUCAUGCUAGGCUAUCAAAAGGGUGUAAAGGGCUAUAGAUUAUGGUGUAUAGAAAAGGGAAACCAAAAGACAGUCAUAAGUAGAGAUGUGGUGUUUAUAGAAAGUGAUCUGCCUUACCUCAACAAAGAUCUUGUAGAAGGAUCACAUGAGAUUCAGAGUACUGGUAAUACAAGGAUCAAGGUGGAGCAAGGGCAAAAUCAAUACUUAUCAGAACUUGAGAGCAGCAGCACUCAGACAGAAGAGAGAUCAGAUGAGAGAAAUGAAGAGACUGAUUCUGAUGAACUCACAGAUUAUAAACUUGCCAGAGAUAGACAGAGGAGGGUCAUUAAACCACCAACCAGAUUUGGAGAGUCAGAUAUGAUUCAUUAUUGUUUAUGCAUUGCUGAGGAUAUUGAACAUUCUGAACCAGCAACCUAUGAAGAAGCUAUAGCUGGGAAAGAAAAGGGAAAAUGGUUCAUUGCCAUGAAAGAAGAGAUUGAAUCUUUAUUGAGAAACAAGACUUGGGUAUUAGUUGAGAGAUCUUAUCAGAAAGCUGUAGGAUGUAAAUGGAUUUUUAAGAAGAAAAUUGAAGCAACUGAUAAAGAUAGUGUCAGGUUUAAAGCCAGGCUGGUUGCCAAGGGUUUUACUCAAAAGGAAGGGAUUGACUUCAAUGAAGUCUUCUCCCCGGUUGUGAAACACAGUUCUAUUAGGAUUUUAUUAGCACUUGUUGCUCAGUUUGAUUGGGAACUGGAACAACUAGAUGUUAAAACAGCUUUCCUACAUGGUGAGUUAGAGGAGACAAUUUAUAUGGAGUUAACCUAAAGGCUUUAUAAAGCCUGGAGAUGAAAACAAAGUUUGCUUACUCAAGAAGAGUUUAUAUGGUUUAAAGCAAAGUAGCAGGCAGUGGUAUAGAAAAUUUGAUGGACACAUGCAGAAAUUCGGUUUUGACAAGUCAAAUCAUGAUAGUUGUGUGUAUAUCAAAAGAAGGAAUGGCGUGGCCCUUGUUUAUCUACUCUUAUACGUUGAUGAUAUGUUAUUAGCUGGUCCAGAGAAGUCUGAAAUUGAAUUGGUCAAAACUGAACUGAGGUCUAGUUUUGAUAUGAAGGACCUAGGGAGUGCCAAAAGGAUUUUGGGCAUGGAUAUUAAAAGGAACAGACAGAACAGGGAGCUAUGGUUAGUACAAAGUGAUUAUCUGGUAAAGAUUUUAAAGAAGUACAGGAUGAUAGACACAAAAGAGGUUUCUACACCAUUAGCUCAACAUUUUAAACUUACAGCAGAUCAAAGGCCAAAGACAGAGGCAGAAGUACAGGAGAUGAAGCGGAUACCAUAUUCCAACAUUGUUGGAAGUAUCAUGUAUAUGAUGGUAUGUACUAGGCCUGAUGUGGCACAUGCUAUGAGUGUAGUGAGCAGGUACAUGUCAGAGCCGGGUAAAGAUCAUUGGUUAGCUGUGAAAUGGAUACUUAGAUAUCUAAGAGGAACUGUUAAUCAUGGGAUUAUGUUCAAAGGAAGUACUAAUACAGAAGAAGAUCCAUUGAUUGGGUACUGUGAUGCAGACUAUGCUUCAAACCUUGAUACAAGGAAGUCACAAACAGGUUAUAUUUUCAAUUUAUUUGGCACUGCAAUAAGUUGGAAAUCAAGUUUGCAAUCUGUCGUUGCUCUAUCAACAACAGAGUCAGAGUAUAUUGCUUUAACCGAAGCAGUAAAGGAAAGUAUGUGGCUCAAAGGGAUUCUGGAAGAUUUUGGUAUCAAGCAAGAAAAGGUGGUUAUCAAUUGUGAUAGUCAGUCAGCAUUACAUCUAGCAAAACAUCAAGUAUUCCACGAGAGAAGUAAACACAUCGAUGUAAGACUUCAUUUUGUAAGAGAUGAAGUUGAGAAAGGUACAGUUGUUAUCAAGAAGGUAUCAACAGAGCAUAAUGCAGCAGACAUGCUCACAAAAUCUCUUCCAACUGCUAAGUUUAGAUAUUGCUUACAGUUGGUUAAUGUUCUUACUCAUUAAAGUGAUAGGAAGCCCUGUGAUGGGGCAGUUUGGAAAGGAAGCCUGUUACUAUUAUUGUUGAGCAUUUGCCAAGGUGGAGAUUUGUUAUAUAUAUGGCUGCAUGCUUAGGAGUUGAGGUCUGUUUUGAUAUUAGAAAGAGUAAAUGGACUAAGUAGCAAAAACAAGUCAUAUUUUAUUCUUUCAUACGUGGCUGUUAUAUGUUACUGUUUUACUGCUCAAGGACUGAUCUGGUGCGUCUAUCAUCAACGGUCCAGAUCAUGAGUUAGAUAUAUCAUCUUCAACACUUAAAGCUGGGGUUAGCAGCUGUUCUUCAUCAUCGAGCAGUUGAGAGAGAAGAGAGUUACUGAGAGAAAUCUUUGUAGCAAGUUUCUUGAGUUUUAGAUCCAAUUGAGUGUUGGUGAGUUUGUGUGAAUUGUAAUCUCUUUCUCGUUUCGGAAUCAUCAAUAAUAUUGGCUAACUUUCCCGUGGAUGUAGGGGUACUUCCCGAACCACGUAAAUCUCAUUGUCGAUUUUGUUUUUUAAUUUGGUUUCACAGAUCUAAGGUCGAAUUGGCCGGAAUAGACGUCGAGAUGUAGCUCCAUAUGUGUCGAAUAUGAGUUUUAAUAUGUUAUGCUUAUUUUAAUUUUUGUUUGGGAAUUUGAAUUAGAUUUUGAUGAUUGUUUCACCUUGAACACAUAAAUAGAUAAUCAAGACAUUUGCUUUUCGUAUUAUUAGCCAAGAAUUGAAAUAAAUUAUAAGGAUUAUGGUGAUCUAAACUUAGUAUAUUAUAUAAUUAAAUUAUAUGAUUAUAAUGAAGUUAGAUUAGUAUAAUUUAUACUAGUAAUUGAAACUAUGAAUUUAUAAUUUGUAGAUUCAUAAAAUUUUCAAAUAUGGUCUUCAGCUUCAAGUGUAUUGUAGAUUUUUCAAGAAUAUAUUCAAGAGAGAAUAAAAAUAUUGUUUAAAGAAAUGAGAGCUUAUUCAAGAAUAAGUGCUUGUAAUGAAACUAAGUUUAAAGUGUUUCAAGUGCUAGGAGCGGCGCAUCCAAGGCUCGAGGAGGACAACCGAAGCAAGCUUGAAGAGGUUUGAAUUCAAUCACUUAAGGUGGGGUUUACUUUUAUCUGUAAGCGUAGUUGUUACAUGGUUAUAAUCAUUGUUGUGUUGUGCGUCAUUCAUAUGAACUAAUGGGACCCACAAGGGGUCGGAUCCACAAGGGAUCAAAGAGCUGAACGGCCCACAAGGGGUCAGGUCCACAAGGGACCGAGACUAGUCUCACAAGAUGUCAGCUAAGUGAAAAUUAUAAGAGUUCAAUAUGUUAUGAUUCAUUACACAAUUGGUUAUAACUGCUUGCAGUGUUUACCCCACUGAGUGUGCUUGCAUACUCAUACCCUAUUGUUUAUGUUUCCUUUCAGGUUAAGGAGUUGGCGGCGAGACGGCAGGCAUGAAGCUCCACAUUCUCCCGUUCUAUUAUAUGAUGAAGUAUUAUAUGUUGUUGUUUUUGGUAAAUAUAUCUUGCUACUAAUCAACUUAGUCUCUUCUAAUUUUUGGUGGGUCGAGACUUUAUAUAUAUUGGUUUAUGAUUAUGCAUUUUGAUGACGGCUAAGACCGAAUAUAUAUAUAUUUUGUUUAUCGUAUGUGUAGUUACGAGUUGUGCCUCGAAUAGUUAUGAUGGUUAUAUUUUGUACGUACUCCACCUUUUU
rnacentral:lncRNA from 1 species